UAUUGUCCAUAAAGUUUUUAUUGGAACACAGCCAUGCCCAUUCAUGUAUGUAUUCUCUAUGGCUGCUUUCCCACUACAACUGCAGAGCUGGGUAAUUGAGACAGAGAAAUGCAGGGCUGAAACUAUUUACUAUCUUGCCCUUUCCAGAAAAAGCUUGCUGGCCACUGCCUCAGAACCUAGGUUGUAAAUCUCACAGAACUGGUUGAGAAAGGAUUUGACUCUAAGGAAAAUUACUACUUGAAUUUAUUUGAUGGUUUAUUGAGAAAAUUUGUUUCAUUUCCAACAUAAUACCAAUGCUUAUCUUUCAGAUUAUGCCUUCCCAUACAUUAUAUUAGUGUUAUCUUUGGUUACUCUGGCUGUGUACAUGUCCGCUUCUGAAAUAGAGAACUGCUAUGAUCUUCUGGUCAGAAAGAAAAGACUUAUUGUUCUCUUCAGCCACUGGUUACUUCAUGCCUAUGGAAUAAUCUCCAUUUCCAGAGUGGAUAAACUUGAGCAAGAUUUGCCCCUUUUGGCUUUGGUACCUACACCAGCCCUUUUUUACUUGUUCACUGCAAAAUUUACUGAACCU
rnacentral:sRNA from 1 species